UCGUAACAAGGUUUCCGUAGGUGAACCUGCGGAAGGAUCAUUAAUAGUGCCCUCUGAUGCAAAUCAUUGGGUUAGAUCUGCUCUCUUCGCAAGAAGAGGGUUUCCAUACACACCGUGAACUGUGGCUUCGGCCAUCACAAACUGUUAGUAAUGAAUGUAAUAUCAUAACAAAAACAAAACUUUUAACAACGGAUCUCUUGGCUCUCGCAUCGAUGAAGAACGCAGCGAAAUGCGAUAAGUAAUGUGAAUUGCAGAAUUCAGUGAAUCAUCGAAUCUUUGAACGCACCUUGCGCCCUUUGGUAUUCCGAAGGGCAUGCCUGUUUGAGUGUCAUGAAACCUCACCCCACUUGGGUUUUUGCCUGAGCGGUGGUGUAUUGGGUGUUGCCUUGCUAAAGGCUCGCCUUAAAGACAUAAGCACCUUGGAUGUAAUACGUUUCAUCCUUCUGGGUGGCUGAUAACCCCACAUAUUCAUGAUCUGGCCUCAAAUCAGGUAGGGCUACCCGCUGAACUUAAGCAUAUC
rnacentral:misc_RNA from 1 species